rnacentral:rRNA from 1 species
UACGUAGGGGGCAAGCGUUGUCCGGAAUCAUUGGGCGUAAAGCGCGCGUAGGCGGCUUGGUAAGUCCGCUCUGAAAGCCCGGGGCUCAACCCCGGGAGGCGGGUGGAUACUGUCAAGCUCGAGUCCGGAAGAGGCGAGUGGAAUUCCCGGUGUAGCGGUGAAAUGCGCAGAUAUCGGGAGGAACACCAAUGGCGAAGGCAGCUCGCUGGGACGUGACUGACGCUGAGACGCGAAAGCGUGGGGAGCAAACAGG